rnacentral:tRNA from 1 species
UCCCUGGUGGUCUCGUGGUUAGGAUUCGGCACUUUCACUGCUGCAGCCUGGGUUCAAUCCCCGGUCUGGGAA